AUACGUAGGUGGCAAGCGUUAUCCGGAAUUAUUGGGCGUAAAGCGCGCGCAGGUGGUUUCUUAAGUCUGAUGUGAAAGCCCACGGCUCAACCGUGGAGGGUCAUUGGAAACUGGGAGACUUGAGUGCAGAAGAGGAAAGUGGAAUUCCAUGUGUAGCGGUGAAAUGCGUAGAGAUAUGGAGGAACACCAGUGGCGAAGGCGACUUUCUGGUCUGUAACUGACACUGAGGCGCGAAAGCGUGGGGAGCAAACAGGAUUA
rnacentral:rRNA from 1 species